rnacentral:rRNA from 1 species
GACGAACGCUGGCGGCGUGCUUAACACAUGCAAGUCGAACGGAAAGGCCCUUCUUUUGUGGGGUGCUCGAGUGGCGAACGGGUGAGUAACACGUGAGUAACCUGCCCUUGACUUUGGGAUAACUUCAGGAAACUUGGGCUAAUACCGGAUAGGAGCUCCUGCUGCAUGGUGGGGGUUGGAAAGUUUCGGCGGUUGGGGAUGGACUCGCGGCUUAUCAGCUUGUUGGUGGGGUAGUGGCUUACCAAGGCUUUGACGGGUAGCCGGCCUGAGAGGGUGACCGGCCACAUUGGGACUGAGAUACGGCCCAGACUCCUACGGGGGGCAGCAGUGGGGAAUAUUGCACAAUGGGCGGAAGCCUGAUGCAGCAACGCCGCGUGCGGGAUGACGGCCUUCGGGUUGUAAACCGCUUUCGCCUGUGACGAAGCGUGAGUGACGGUAAUGGGUAAAGAAGCACCGGCUAACUACGUG